AAUCCAUGGUGAGGACACCUUCGUAGUAGGUCCUUGUAUCUCUCUCAUACAUCAUAAAUAGUUUCUAAGUCCAUCUACACAAACGAAGACAUAUCAUUACGUAAUU
rnacentral:snoRNA from 1 species